GUGAACCUGCGGAAGGAUCAUUUAUUGAAAAUAAAACGUUGAUAGGCUGUUGCUGGCUUUCAGGGCAUGUGCACGCUUGUCAGCUUUAUGUUUUUCUUUCCACCUGUGCACUCUUUGUAGACCCUAGAGGAAAGUUUAUCGUCAGAUAGGUUGAGGACUGCUGUGCCCUUGUGGGGGUGCCAAGCUUUGCCUUGCGGUAUCUAGGGUUCUAUGUCAUUCACAUACUCCUAUGAAAUGUAAUGGAAUGUUGACCUGGGUCCUUUUUAGUACCCAUAAAGUUUAUAUACAACUUUCAGCAACGGAUCUCUUGGCUCUCGCAUCGAUGAAGAACGCAGCGAAAUGCGAUAAGUAAUGUGAAUUGCAGAAUUCAGUGAAUCAUCGAAUCUUUGAACGCAUCUUGCGCUCCUUGGUAUUCCCGGAGGAGCAUGCCUGUUUGAGUGUCAUUUAAUUCUCAACCACAUUGAUUCCGUCAUUGUGGAUUGGAUUUGGGGGGAUUUUUUUUGUGGGCUUUUUGUGUAAAGAAAGUCUGCUCCCCUAAAAUUAAUUAGCGGUACUUUAAAUAGAACCGUCUACAGGUGUGAUAAUUUAU
rnacentral:rRNA from 1 species